GUGCUCGCUUAGGCAGCACAUAGACUAAAAUUGGAACAAUAGAGAAAAAAUUAGCAUGGCCCCUGCACAAGGAUGACAUGCAAAUUCAUGAAGCGUUCCAUAUUUUU
ensembl:snRNA Gm22069 predicted gene, 22069